GUGCAUAUGUUGACAGUACUUGCACUAAAAUUGUAACAACACAGAGAAUAUGAACAUGGCCUCUGAGCAAGAAUGACAUGCAAAUUUGUGAAGCACUCCAUAUUUUU
ensembl:snRNA U6 U6 spliceosomal RNA